ACUAAAUAGAUACCCGGGUAGUCCACGCCGUAAACGAUGGAUACUAGCUGUUCGGAGCAAUCUGAGUGGCUAAAGCGAAAAGUGAUAAGUAUCCCACCUGGGGAGUACGCACGCAAGUGUGAAACUCAAAGGAAUUGACGGGGGCCCGCACAAGCGGUGGAGCAUGUGGUUUAAUUCGAUGAUACGCGAGGAACCUUACCAGGGCUUAAAUGUAGAUUGACAGGACUGGAAACAGUUUUUUCUUCGGACAAUUUACAAGGUGCUGCAUGGUUGUCGUCAGCUCGUGCCGUGAGGUGUCAGGUUAAGUCCUAUAACGAGCGCAACCCCUGUCGUUAGUUGCCAGCGAGUCAUGUCGGGAACUCUAACGAGACUGCCAGUGUAAACUGUGAGGAAGGUGGGGAUGACGUCAAAUCAUCACGGCCCUUACGUCCUGGGCCACACACGUGCUACAAUGGUAGGUACAGAGAGCAGCCACUGCGCGAGCAGGAGCGAAUCUACAAAACCUAUCUCAGUUCGGAUCGGAGUCU
rnacentral:rRNA from 1 species